CUACACCUCAAGUCCUCUUAUUAUUUAAUUUUGAGACGAGGUCUGGCUAAGUUGACCUGGCUGCCCUGAACUUGUGAUCCUUCUGCCUUAGCUUGCCCAGUAGCUGGAAUCAAAGGUGUGUGCCAUGGCGCCUAGUUUGGGACCAAUAUUUAAAUAGCACUGGAAAAAUUAUAAGUCUCACGAAGUUAUCUUGAACGCUAUUUUUUCUUUUAGGAGAGGGAGGACUUGAGUAUUGUGAAUAGUUCUGGUCUAGAGACCUUUUAGAGCCAAAAGGAAUACAGUCUUGAAUCUUUCUUAUGAAUGCUAUCUGCCUUGAGAAAUCAAAUUCUCAGGACCAGGAAGUAAAUGCAGCUUUUCUUCAUCUAGAUUCUAGGUUUAGAAAUACCAAGUAAGAAAUUCAUGUAUAUGAUUCUGGAAACUUGGAAAGGCAAAUUGCUCAUGACUGAAAGGCUUAACAUAGAUGAACCUUCCAAGUUCUUAAAAACAGAAUGACUAAGAAGACAAAGAUGGGUCAAGAAGACCAGUGGAAGACUCC
rnacentral:lncRNA from 1 species